UACGGGGGGAGCAAGCGUUGUUCGGAUUUACUGGGCGUAAAGGGCGCGUAGGCGGCCAGCACAAGUCAGUUGUGAAAUCUCCGAGCUUAACUCGGAAAGGUCAACUGAUACUGCGGGGCUAGAGUGCAGAAGGGGCAACUGGAAUUCUCGGUGUAGCGGUGAAAUGCGUAGAUAUCGAGAGGAACACCUGCGGCGAAGGCGGGUUGCUGGGCUGACACUGACGCUGAGGUGCGAAAGCGUGGGGAGCAAACAGG
rnacentral:rRNA from 1 species